CAGACUGAGGGCGAAACAGCAGGCAGGACUGGGUGGAGACGUUCGGGGACGUGGCAACUGGAGUUUCUUCUCCGUAUAUUUCGGCAUUCAGUUCCUUUUUUUUUUUGUUUUAACUCAGGAAAAAAUCUCAAUUGCGUUUAGUAUUUUGAAAGCCACUUUAUUGCUUCCCGAGCCUCAGUCAUGUGUGGUGGGAGGCUGCUGUGGGUGGCACCUGGGGCGUCCACGGCCGCCAAGGCGGGAGGACGUCAGGCCCUGCUUGCUCCCACCCCUUCCAGGUGAGAGCUCCCGGGCACGCCCGUCGUUGGCUCUUCGUCCUCUUGGUGUUCUUCCCUGUUGCUUCAAAUCAGGUUCCUGUCUCAAAAAUCCGAAAAAGAAAUCCUCCCAAAUGACUCUGUGCCCGACGCUCCGUUAAGGCAUCGUGCUAGGCGUUCUCAAACUCGUGAAAUGACUACACUGCACAGGUUAACCUCAUUGCUACUCUUCCCCUUGCCUCCUAAUUCUCUGGUUAAACUUCCGCCCCCGAGGUUUCUAGAAAUCCCUGAGCUGGAAUGCGCUGCCUUCAUUAAGAGGGUGUUCUGCUUCCGUCUGCUCACAUUCAUCUAGUAAGCCCUCUCGUUAAAGAGGAGGCAGCACACCGAGGCCUGUCUAGAACUUCUUUCAUUUAACCAACAGUGAAUAUCUAAUCUACAAGAAACUGGAGCCGUGGCAGUUUAGGAGCCUGCCAAGGUUGCAUCCCUGGGAGCUUAUUUUCUAUUGUGGGAGACAGGAAAAGAACAAGUGAAUCAACUGUGAAAUUAAAUAAUUCAAACUUAAAGCUGUUGGAACUUUAAAUUAUUCUGAGCCUUGCGAAGAAUGUGGCGAUGGGGCCUGAGUCCCAUGGCAUACAGCUGCAAUGUCUGCCUUGUUUUUUCCUAUAAUCAGGAAGACCAAACAGAGACAGAGUUCUGGUUAAAUCACACAAGUCCCUGGCAUGAGACCAAGAAGUCACAGAGCCCAGGUCUUAGCCCUCAGAGUGUGAGAGAAGACAUGAAGGCAUCAGGGACACUGUGCGAGUGGGCACUGCUGCUUUCCACUGCUCUCCCUAGACUGCAGCCAGGAGGCUGCCUCUGCCCUGCCAGGCGCACACACCAAGAAAGGCCAUGUGGGCACACAGCAAGAUGGUGCCUGUCUGCAAACUAGGAAAAGAGCCCUCACCAGGAACUGAAACAGCUGGCACCUUGAUGUUGGACUUUCCAGCCUCCACAACUGUGAGAGGCCAGCUGCCAGAAGCUUCUCACUCCGUGGAGACCUUGGAGUCGAGGAUGAAAUGUCUUACAACUGUGGGGAGACCUUGGCUUUUCCAAAGCCUACCAGGGUCCAGGACUUGGAAGCUAAGGCCCAGAGAGGAGGAGAAACUUGAUCAAAGUCAAUCAGACAAUGCAGAAUCGAGAAAAGUACCUGGACCUCUAUGCCCAUGCUUCUAGCAGCCAGCCUCCUAAAAUACCUCUAGUUGAAGCCAAAGUUAGAAUCCUUCUACGAAACUACAGGAUUAAAAUGGAAUGGUUACAUGACCCAGGCUUGACCAAUCAGAUCAUCCAAACCCUUUGCCACAGUGAUUGGUCCAGGGAUACAUGCAUGAGCCAGCUCAGGUAAAUGAGACUCAAUUAUAAGAAUUUUGUUAGCGCAAUUGGGAAAAAGAAGUUUUCUUUCCAUGAGAACUAUCAGCUAUAAGAAUGUUGGAUGCUUCCAUCUGCUGGAGUCCAUGAAGAAGGUCCAUGAAAAUGAAGCCAGCACAACAACACAGAGCUAAGACAUACAAAGAGAUGGAGAUUAAAUUGAAUGGAACUUUUAAGCCCCUACAUGCCCUUGAAGCCAGAUAUCCCUGAACUUUUAAUUUAUAUUAGUUGAUAAAGUCCUUCUUUAGCUUAAGCCAAUUUGAAUUAGAGUAUUUUUCACUUGGGGUCCAAAAGAGCUCUCAAUACAAAAGUCUGACUGAGUGCAUGAUGUGCUGGUUUCAACCUCAAGGGAACAGGGAAAGGGAAAGAAAGAGGCAGAGGUUGUGAACAGGACAGUAGAAGGUGGUCAGGAGACAAAUAUCUGGACUCAACUUUGUCCCUACUGUGUGGCCUUGAAUAGUGAGUUAACCACUCCGAGCCUCAGUUUCCCCAUCUGGAAAAAAAAGUUAGUGGACAGUCACUAGUUCUCAGACAGAACUCUGUAGCAGCGAGAGGGUAAUGGGGAUUGAGAGUCCCAGACUUGCAUUCUGAGGGACUAGCUCUCCUCUUAUCUAUAUCAUAUACCAGGUUUUCUUGUAAGGUUUUGUUAGAAUGGGUCUCACUGUUAAAAUGGAUUAGCUGAUCAUUUCAGUUCUAUUUAUAUUAAAGUCUAAAUUGAAUCAAGGCUCAGCUGGGGCCCAGUAAGAAUGUAGUGCCUGGUUAAUAAUAUUUUCUACUCUAUGAUAGGAGUUGGCCAGAAGCCAAGGUCAAAAACUCAAUCCCUGGAGGGUUUAUUUGCUUUCUGCAGACAUAAAAAAUUGUUAAUAACAAUGAUCUGCAUCCCCAAUCUUGAGAGCUGUCUUAGAGAUGUGGGUCAUUGAUCACAGAAGGGGCUGGGAAAAGGAAUGUGGAUGAUUCCAAAUAGUCAUUAGCUCUGCCUUAAAUGCCAAUACAAACACUACUGCCAAUGCUCAAGGCAAGCAACCUCUUCAUAGCUAGAACACAGAGGGUGGUGUGCUUGAAGGCUUUUGUUUCUCCUCAAGACAGUGUAGAAAAAGCUGAGAAAACAAAGAGCACUUGUUUCACAAUUAACUGCACAACACCUGAUGUAUAUCCACAGUCCUCUAAAUUAAUAUGGAUUCGCUUUUCUUUAUAAAGACAACAUACACAUUGUAGUGGAAAUCGGAUGGGAGGAUAAUUUUUAUGAAAGCAUAUAACAGUAUUUUUAUAAAAUAUAAAUUAUCAUUACAGUAAAAUAUAUUAACUUCAAGGCAAGUUUUGACACUGUAUGCAAGUUUAAAGUAUUUCAAAUUUUUAAAAAGUGUAUCUUAACAAAUAAAUUUUAGCACCAAUUGCCAGAAUUGUUGUCCACCACUAUAGUCAAAACAAUUUUCUUUUCUUUAUUUCAACUAAAAAUUGUGAAUGGGACUAAAGUCUUUAUGCAAAUAUAUACUCCAAUAAUAAUAUUAAUCUUGCCAACAGUAGCUGAAUAUUUAAUUAACUUUAACAAACAUGUUGAAAGAUAAUAAACUAAAAAAACUAUUUUUCCUUAUAGUCUCUGUAUAACUAGGUGCUUUCUCAUUAGAAAGCUUAUUUUUUCAAAAGUAUAUAUAACAUAGGUAAUUUAUAUUAAUAAAAAAUAAAAAGUUGCAAAUUUCUUGAGGUGUAAUUUCUCAUGUUGAUUAACUUCUGAUCUCUAUCAUUUUGCUUACAUGUACCAUAGAUACACAAAAACCAGAUGGGGGGCAGGGUAAUCAAUCUUAGGAGAGGGCAAUAGUUAAGUCAGACUAGGCAGAGUCAAGACAAGAGGCAGGCAGAGGGUUAGUUGAGGGCAAGUUAUGAAUGCCUCAGAACACAUCUCAGGAUUUGGAAACAAGCAGUAGUCUGGUCAAAUCCAAACUGGGAAACACAGAUGGCG
rnacentral:lncRNA from 1 species